AAAUCGAAUACAUCAAAAUUUGUCAACAUCUGUUCUGAGGAAAACAACGAUCAACACCUUGGCCGAUUUUCUGACGGAUGUUAUGGACCAAACUAGUCACUAAAUCAUCAUCAAUUUACGUUUGUGCAUAUUCAUUUUCUGCAACUUUGAAAUGAUGCCUUGUUUUUUAACAGAUUGAUGAAAAUUCUUUUUGGUCUGAUUCACUGAAAAAUAAUCGUCAGAGUCAGGUGCAGCCUGCUGAUAAUUACCAAAUCAAAGUCUGGUCGAGAGUUUGGUCCAGUUUAGCCAAGCAAGUCUCAAUUCCCAAAAAAUGAGUCACUUUCGUGUGACUUGAGUCUAAUCACGCGGCUCGAGUCCUCCGCCUGUGCUACUUUCUGUCCUAUUUCUGAAAGGGCGCAUUCUGAUAUUGGCGUGGGAUACUAGCAAAUGCCACGAACGAAAGGUGCACGAAGAGUUCCAGUGGCUUGACAAAGGCAGUCUGACAAGGUCAGCUGGGCGGUUUUGCCUGGCUCAGCAGAGAGCUGCGGAGCCGCAGGGCUCGCCGCUCAGCUGACUGGGCUCUUUGCUUGUUGGCGCCGCUCCUUCUCGAAGGGGCCCCGCUGGCGCAGCCAUUCAGCGGCGCGGGCCAUAAAUGACCGUGUGGAACGGCGUGUUUUAGCACAACAUUCUGAACAAAACAGCACAGGCUCUGGAGCGCGGCCAAAAUGCCAGGAACGAAAGGUAACAAGUCGGACAAGAAGUCAACUACCAAGCAACCUCAAAGUCCUAAAGAGCAGCCGAAGAAAGGUGAUCAGAAAGGAGAUGACAAGAAGCAAGGAGGACAGCCGAAGGGAGAGAAGCAGUAACUUCCAGGCGUUUGUGAAGAUGGCACUGGAGACGCUGCUGGGCUCCUGCCGUCGCAAACAUGGGGGUCAUCGAGGGAGGCAGGGGUGAGCCGAGCACCCCACCCCAGAGCCGGACGGAUUGUUGGGUGGCCUUCCAACAUGGCAUUUGCUCUCACGGAGAAUGAAAAUCAAUCAAAUCUCAGCUGUCUCUCCCUCUCCCGUGUUCCCAACCUUUGUCUGUGCCCACACUGUCCACCCAACAUGCUGGAUGCUCGUACUCCAGUUAAAAAAAAAGAAAAAAGGAAAAAGAUAAUUGCUCUGAGCAAGACAGCGGUUUGUUCCCCUUUCCCCAAAUCAUCCCCAGUAUUGACUGUUUAACAGUCCAUACAUUUUUCUUGUAAAUAAUUAUUCAAAUAAACUAUUUCUUACAUGAUUUUGAA